UCAGUGACACAGAGCGUGCCU
rnacentral:misc_RNA from 1 species